rnacentral:rRNA from 1 species
CCUACGGGGUGCUGCAGUGGGGGAUAUUGCACAAUGGGGGAAACCCUGAUGCAGCGACGCCGCGUGAGUGAAGAAGUAUUUCGGUAUGUAAAGCUCUAUCAGCAGGGAAGAAAAUGACAGCACCUGACUAAUAAGCCCCGGCUAACUACGUGCCAGCAGCCGCGGUCAUACGUAGGGGGCAAGCGUUAUCCGGAUUUACUGGGUGUAAAGGGAGCGUAGACGGGUAUGUAAGUCUGGAGUGAAAGCCCGGGGCUCAACCCCGGGACUGCUUUGGAAACUGUGUAACUGGAGUACAGGAGGGGCAGGCGGAAUUACUGGUGUAGCGGUGAAAUGCGUAGAUAUCAGGAGGAACACCGGCGGCGAAGGCGGCCUGCUGGACUGAAACUGACGUUGAGGCUCGAAAGCGUGGGGAGCAAACAGGAUUAGAUACCCCGGUAGUC